GAUCAAGUGUCUUAAGGGCAAUUGGUGGAUGCCUUGGCAUGCACAGGCGAUGAAGGACGUGAUACGCUGCGAUAAGCUACGGGGAGGUGCGAAUACCCUUUGAUCCGUAGAUUUCCGAAUGGGGAAACCCACCUAAGGUGCUUGGAAAAUCAGAGCAGCAGGGCAACUUGCUGCUGUGGUUUCCAAGUAUCUGUUAUAGGUAACUUAUCCUGAAUACAUAGGGAUAAAGUGGCGAACGCGGGGAACUGAAACAUCUAAGUACCCGUAGGAAAGGACAUCAACCGAGACUCCGGCAGUAGUGGCGAGCGAACCCGGACCAGGCCAGUGGCGAUGAUGAGACAAGCGGAACCUUCUGGAAAGUAGGGCCAUAGUGGGUGACAGCCCCGUACGCGUAAUGCAAAUCAUCGUCCUCGAGUAAGGCGGGACACGUGAAAUCCUGUCUGAAAUUGGGGGGACCACCCUCCAAGCCUAAGUACUCGUGCAUGACCGAUAGCGAACUAGUACCGUGAGGGAAAGGUGAAAAGCACCCCGACAAGGGGAGUGAAAGAGUACCUGAAACCGAUUGCCUACAAACAGUGGGAGUCCAAGGUUCGUCCUGGGUGACCACGUACCUUUUGUAUAAUGGGUCAGCGACUUAGUGUGACGAGCAAGCUUAAACCGGUAGGUGUAGGCGCAGCGAAAGCGAGUCUGAACAGGGCGUUCAGUUCGUCGCAUUAGACCCGAAACCGAGUGAUCUAGCCAUGAGCAGGUUGAAGGUAAGGUAACACUUACUGGAGGACCGAACCCAUAACUGUUGCAAUAGUUCGGGAUGACUUGUGGCUAGGGGUGAAAGGCCAAUCAAACUCGGAAAUAGCUGGUUCUCCGCGAAAUCUAUUUAGGUAGAGCGUCGACCGAAUACCCCAGGGGGUAGAGCACUGGAUGGGCUAGGGGUCCUCACCGGAUUACCAAACCUAACCAAACUCCGAAUACCUGGGAGUACUAGUCGGCAGACACACGGCGGGUGCUAACGUCCGUCGUGAAAAGGGAAACAACCCUGACCUACAGCUAAGGUCCCCAAGUUAUGGCUAAGUGGGAAAGGAUGUGAGGAUCCCAAAACAACCAGGAUGUUGGCUUAGAAGCAGCCAUCAUUUAAAGAAAGCGUAACAGCUCACUGGUCUAAAUAAGGGUCUUUGCGCCGAAAAUGUAACGGGGCUCAAGCCAUACACCGAAGCUUAGGGUUCGUGAGCAAUCACGAGCGGUAGCGGAGCGUUCUGUAAGCUGAUGAAGCCAUACCCGUGAGGGGUGGUGGAGGUAUCAGAAGUGCGAAUGCUGACAUGAGUAACGUAAGGGGAGUGAGAGACUCCCCCGCCGAAAGUCCAAGGGUUCCUGCUUAAAGCUAAUCUGAGCAGGGUUAGCCGGCCCCUAAGUCGAGGCAGAAAUGCGUAGACGAUGGGAACCACGUUAAUAUUCGUGGGCCUGGAGGAAGUGACGGAUCAUUGAGGUAGUCCAAUCUUAUCGGAUUGAAAGGGCUGCUGCGUGGUUCCAGGAAAUAGCUCCUCCUUAUAGACCGUACCCGAAACCGACACUGGUGGACUGGUAGAGUAUACCAAGGCGCUUGAGAGAACUAUGCUGAAGGAACUCGGCAAAUUGCACGCGUAACUUCGGAAGAAGCGUGACCCUUUUCCACGCAAGUGGAGGAGGGUGGCACAGACCAGGGGGUAGCGACUGUUUAUCAAAAACACAGGGCUCUGCGAAGUCGCAAGACGACGUAUAGGGUCUGACGCCUGCCCGGUGCUGGAAGGUUAAGAGGAGGGGUGCAAGCUCUGAAUCGAAGCCCCAGUAAACGGCGGCCGUAACUAUAACGGUCCUAAGGUAGCGAAAUUCCUUGUCGGGUAAGUUCCGACCUGCACGAAUGGCGUAACGACUUCCCCGCUGUCUCCAGCAUAGACUCAGUGAAAUUGAAUUCCCCGUGAAGAUGCGGGGUUCCUGCGGUUAGACGGAAAGACCCCGUGCACCUUUACUAUAGCUUUACAUUGGCAUUCGUAGUGGCAUGUGUAGGAUAGGUGGUAGGCUUUGAAACCUGGGCGCCAGCUCAGGUGGAGCCACCCUUGAAAUACCACCCUUAUCACUAUGGAUGUCUAACCGCGGCCCGUUAUCCGGGUCCGGGACAAUGUAUGGUGGGUAGUUUGACUGGGGCGGUCGCCUCCUAAAGAGUAACGGAGGCGCGCGAUGGUGGGCUCAGAACGGUCGGAAAUCGUUCGCUGAGUGCAAUGGCAUAAGCCUGCCUGACUGCGAGACUGACAAGUCGAGCAGAGACGAAAGUCGGUCAUAGUGAUCCGGUGGUCCCGCGUGGAAGGGCCAUCGCUCAACGGAUAAAAGGUACGCCGGGGAUAACAGGCUGAUGACCCCCAAGAGUCCAUAUCGACGGGGUUGUUUGGCACCUCGAUGUCGACUCAUCGCAUCCUGGGGCUGGAGCAGGUCCCAAGGGUAUGGCUGUUCGCCAUUUAAAGCGGUACGUGAGUUGGGUUCAGAACGUCGUGAGACAGUUCGGUCCCUAUCUGCCGUGGGUGUAGGAAUAUUGAAAGGAUCUGUCCCUAGUACGAGAGGACCGGGAUGGACGGAUCUCUGGUGGACCUGUUGUGGCGCCAGCCGCAUAGCAGGGUAGCUAUAUCCGGACGGGAUAACCGCUGAAGGCAUCUAAGCGGGAAACCCACCUUAAAACGAGUAUUCCCUGAGAACCGUGGAAGACGACCACGUUGAUAGGCCGGGUGUGGAAGAGCGGCAACGCUUGAAGCUUACCGGUACUAAUAGUUCGAUCGGCUUGAUCGU
rnacentral:rRNA from 1 species